GACGAACGCUGGCGGCGUGCUUAACACAUGCAAGUCGAACGGAAAGGCCUGCUUUCCCUUGUGGAUUGCGGGUACUCGAGUGGCGAACGGGUGAGUAACACGUGAGUGAUCUGCCCCCAACUUGGGUAUAAGCCUGGGAAACUGGGUCUAAUUUCCGAUAGGACUGCAGGGUGGUGCCUGUGGUGGGAAACGAUUUUCUAGUGGUUGGGGAUGAGCUCGCGGCCUAUCAGCUUGGUGGUGGGGUAAUGGCCUACCAAGGCGGCGACGGGUAGCCGGGCUGGGAGGGUGGACGGCCACAUUGGGACUGAGAUACGGCCCAGACUCCUACGGGAGGCAGCAGUGGGGGAUAUUGCACAAUGGGCGGAAGCCUGAUGCAGCGACGCCGCGUGGGGGAUGACGGCCUUCGGGUUGUAAACUCCUUUCGACCGCGAGGAAGCCACCUGGUUGGAAGGGUGGUGACGGUAGUGGUAGAAGAAGCACCGGCUAACUACGUG
rnacentral:rRNA from 1 species